UACGUAGGGUCCAAGCGUUAUCCGGAAUCACUGGGCGUAAAGCGUGCGUAGGUGGCGCGUUAAGUGAGAUGUUAAAUCGUGUGGCUCAACCAUAUCGAUGCAUCUCAUACUGGCGUGCUAGAGGACAGCAGAGGCAAGUGGAACUCGUAGUGUAGCAGUGAAAUGCGUAGAUAUUACGAAGAACACCAAUGGCGAAGGCAGCUUGCUGGGCUACUCCUGACACUGAGGUACGAAAGCGUGGGGAGCGAACAGG
rnacentral:rRNA from 1 species